rnacentral:rRNA from 1 species
GAUGAACGCUGGCGGCGUGCCUAAUACAUGCAAGUCGAGCGAACAGACGAGGAGCUUGCUCCUCUGACGUUAGCGGCGGACGGGUGAGUAACACGUGGAUAACCUACCUAUAAGACUGGGAUAACUUCGGGAAACCGGAGCUAAUACCGGAUAAUAUAUUGGACCGCAUGGUUCAAUAGUGAAAGACGGUUUUGCUGUCACUUAUAGAUGGAUCCGCGCCGCAUUAGCUAGUUGGUAAGGUAACGGCUUACCAAGGCGACGAUGCGUAGCCGACCUGAGAGGGUGAUCGGCCACACUGGAACUGAGACACGGUCCAGACUCCUACGGGAGGCAGCAGUAGGGAAUCUUCCGCAAUGGGCGAAGGCCUGACGGAGCAACGCCGCGUGAGUGAUGAAGGUCUUCGGAUCGUAAAACUCUGUUAUUAGGGAAGAACAAAUGUGUAAGUAACUAUGCACGUCUUGACGGUACCUAAUCAGAAAGCCACGGCUAACUACGUG